GGACCGGGUAACGCUCCCAGAUCGCCGCCGCCUAGCCCUAAAAAAAAAAGACCGCCGCCGCGUAGCCUUUCGCCGCCGGGUUCGAAGAGGGAGCCGGGGCACGCAAGGCGGCCUAUAGCCUAGAGAGAGACUGGUUCGGCGGGUGCGGGCCAGCGGCGCGGCAACGUCGUGGGUGGUGGGGCGGACGCGCAUCUCUACGACGACCCGGACGCCGCCGCCAUCCCGGCGCUCCUCGGCUCCCGCUUCGACGGCGAUUAGGUCGACGCUCAAGCACCUCCUCGCCCUCAUCUCGCAGGGCUCCUACGUCGCCCACCUCUUCCAGCAGGCCAUGGUUCUUCCAUCCUACCAUUAUCUUCUGAAACACACAUCAGUAUUCUUCAUACGGUGGUGGAUACCAGAGUGGUAGUACAACAAAAGACAUUGAUAUCCCAAAUGGAAGGUUGGUGUUAUCAUUGCAAAUGCUGGAGAAACUAUAAAGCUUAUCCAACUUCAAUCAGGGGCAAAGAUCCAAGUAACGAGGGAGAUGGAUGUUCAACUCGGGUUAGAGACAAGAUUGGUUGAUCUUUCGUGCACUCCUGACCACCUGACCAGAUAAGCAGAGCUGUGAUAUCUUUUUUAUCGUCUCGACUUCACAUUAGUUGUGCAUCCAUUUAUUCAACCAUGCUUGUCAUGUGACCUUUUUGUAGGCUGAUGCUGGCCCAUAUGGCACUAUCUCUAAUUGGAAGUACAAUGCACCUCAACCUAGUGUUGAGCAAUUCCAGAUGCAAAUUGCUAACAAGGUAAACUGGGUCCUUUCUUGACGAGAUAGUCAAAGAUGUUCGGUGGAUUAUGAAAAUUUAUGUCUAGUAAAUGAGCAUGGUGGUUAUUAUAUUGGUGGAUAAAUAGAUCUUUAAUAAACUUGAAGCAAUUUGGAUUUAGUUAGGCGAUUAUGAUCUUGAACCAAAUUUCAUGGUGGAUUACGAGAUUUUGAUGCAUUCAUUUAGUUCAUUGUGAUCUUGAGGAGAUAGUCAAAGAUGUUCGGUGGAUUAAUUAAUCUUGGACAAUUUGGAUUUUGUUAGGAGGUUGUGAUAUUGAACCGUACUUCAUGAUGGAUUAUGAGAUUUUAGGUUGAUUUAGUUAUGUGAUUUAAUCUUGAGAAGAUAGUAAAAAUGUUCGGCGGAUUAUGAGAUUUUAGGUAUGAUAGAUGUGCAUGGUGAUUAUUAUAUUGGUGGAUAAAUAGAUCUUUAAUAUUGUUUGGAACAUUUUGGAUUUAGUUAAGUGAUUGUGAUCUUAAACCAAAUUUCAUGAUGGAUUAUGAGGUUUUGGUUGGAUUUAUUUAGGUGAUUGUGAUCUUGACAAGCUAGUAAAAGAUGUUCGGUGGAUUAUGUGAAUUUAGGUCUGGUAGGUGAGCAUGGUGGUUAUUAUAUUGGCGAAUAAGUAAAUUUUUAAUAAACUUGAGAAAAUUUGGAUUUAGUUAGACGAUUGUGAUCUCGAACAAAAUUUCAUGGUGGAAUACGAGAUUUUAGAUGGAUUUAGUCAAUUGAUUGUGAUCUUGAGGAGAUACUCAAAGAUAUUCGAUGGAUUAAUUAAUCUGAACAAUUUGGAUUUAGUUAGGCUAUUGUGAUAUUUAACCGAAUUUCGCAAUGAUUUAUGUGAUUUCAGGUGGAUUUAGUUAAGUAAUUAUGAUCUUGGGAAGAUGGCCAAAAAUGUUCGAUGGAUUUUAAGAUUUUAGGUCUAAUAUGUGAGCAUGGUGACUAUAAUAUUGGUGGAUAAACAGACCUUCAAUUUAGUUUGAAACAAUUUGAAUUUAGUUAGGUGAUUGUGAUCUUUUAACCAAAUUCACGGUGGAUUUUGAUGUUUGGGUUGGAUUUAGUUAGGUGAUUGUGAUCUUGACGAGAUAGUCAAAGAUGUUCGAUGGAUUAUGUGAGAAUUUAUGUCUAGUAGUGUGCAUGGUGGUUAUUAUAUUGGUGGAUAAAUGGAUUUUUAGUAAACUUGGAGCAUGGUGGUUAUUAUAUUGGUGAUUUAUUUGAUUGUAGGUGGAUUUAGUUAGGUGAUUGUGUCUUUAGAAGAUAGUCAAAAUGUGCGGUGGAUUAUGAGAUUUUAGGUAUGAUAAAUGAGCAUGGUGAUUAUUAUAUUGGUGCAUAAAUAGAUCUUUAAUUUAGUUUGGAACAAUUUGGAUUUAGUUAGGUGGUUAUGAUUUUUCAACCAAAUUCAUGGUGGAAUUUGUGGUUUUGUUGGAUUUAGUUAGCUAGGUGACGGUGAUCUUGAUGAGAUAGUCAAUGAUGUUUUGUGAAUUAUGUUAAUUUAGGUCUAGUAAGUGAGAAUGGUGAUUGUUAUAUUGGUGAAUAAAUGGUCUUUAGUAAACAUGGAGCAAUUUGGAUUUAGUUAGGCGAUUGUGAUCUUGAACAAAUUUCAUGUUCGAUUACGAGAUUUGGAUUUAGUUAGUAGAUUGUGAUCUUGGGUAGAUGUCAAAGAUGUUUGGUGGAUUAGUUGAUCUUGAACAAUUUUGAUUAAUGAGAUUGUGAUAUUGAACCAAAUUUCUCGGUGAUUUAUGAGAUUUUAGUUGGACUUACUUAGGUGAUUGUGUCUUCAGAAGAUAGUCAAAGAUGUUUGGUGGAUUAUGAUAUUUUAGGUGUAAUAGAUGAGGAUGGUGAUUAUUAUAUUGGUGGAUAAACAGAUAUUUAAUUUAGUUUGGAACAAUUUGGAUUUAGUUAGUUGAUUGUGAUCUUUUGAUCAAAAUUUACGGUAGAUUUUGAGGUUUUGGUUGGACUUAGUUAAGGUGAUUGGGAUCUUGACGAGCUAGUAAAAGAUGUUAAGUAGAUUAUGUGAAUUUAGGUCUAGUAGGUGAGCAUGUUGGUUAUUAUUUGGCGGAUAAAUAAACUUUUAGAAACUUGGAAAAAUUGGGAUUUAGUUAGGCGAUUGUGAUCUUGAACCAAAUUUUAUGGUGGAUUAUGAGAUUUUUGAUUGAUUAGUUUGUUGAUUGUGAUCUUGAGAAGAUAGUCAAAAAUGUUCGGUGUAUUAAUUAAUCUUGAACAAUUUAGAUUUAGUUGGGUGAUUGUGAUAUUAAACCAAAUUGUGUCUUGAGAAGAUAGUCAAAGAUGUUUGAUGGAUUAUGAGAUUUUAGGUCUAAUAGAUGAGCAUGGUGAUUAUUAUAUUGGUGGAUAAACAAAUAUGUAAUUCAAUCUGGAACAAUUUGGAUUCAGUUAGGUGAUUGUGAUUUUAGUGAGCUAGUAAAAGAUGUUCGGUGGCUUAUGUGAAUUCUGAUCUAGUAGGUGAGCAUGUUGACUGUUAUAUUGUGUCACGACCCGACUCCGGUAGGAUUUCGCUGGCGUCGUGCUACAUCAGCUAUGACGAGUGGAAUUAAAAUCGGGAGAAGAGAGGAAACAGAGGUAGAAGAAAGCAACAAGAUAGAAUAGACAGAAAAUGAGAGGCUAGAGUUCAAUAUCAAAUUUUUGAUAAGUUUCCCUCCUCGGGACCUUGCUUAUAACACGUAGGCUUACAUGACGCGAUUACACGACCCGUUGGCCCAACAGCUCACUCACUCACAGCCCCGCAGGCCCACACUUCAUUUGAGUUUUCCCUCGUCUGCUUUACGCCUUCGUCGUGUUCCCUUUACGUCUUCAGGUUAGCGAAGCCACCAUCGCCAAUGCCUCAGGAAUGACAUAUUGGUAGAGAAGUGGAUCUUUUAGUAAACACAGAGCAAUUUGGAAUUAGUUAGGCGAUAACAAAUUUCAUGGUGGAUUACGAGAUUUUCAAUAGAUUUUGUUGAUUGUGAUCUUGAGGAGGUAGUCAAAGAUGUUCGGUGGAUUAAUUAAUCUUGUACAAUUUGGAUUUAGUUAGGUGAUUGUGAUAUUGAACCAAAUUUCUCUAUGAUUUAUGAGAUUUUAGUUGGAUUUAGUUAGGUGAUUGUGUUUUGAGAAGAUAAUCAAAGAUUUUUGGUGGAUUAUGAGAUUUUAGGUCUAAUAGACGAGCAUGAUGAUUAUUAUAUUGGUGGAUAAAAAUAUUUAAUUUAGUUCGGUGAUUGUGAUCUUUUAACCUAAUUUUAUGAUGGAUUAUAAAGUUUUGGUUGGAUUUAGUUAUGUGAUUGUGAUUUUGACGAGCUAGUAAAAGAUGUUUGGUGGAUUAUGUGAAUUUCGGUAUAGUAGGUGAGCAUGUUGAUUAUUAUAUUGGUGGAUAGAGAUGAGGGCCACACAAGUGACUCAAGGCGAUGAUGCCACUACUGAAAAUAAUUGGUAAACAAGGCAACAUAGGUGGAGAGACUGUGGGUAGUGGCAGCAGAUGGACUUGAUCCAGCAUCCCACAUGCCUGUGCACCCUUCAUUCUCCCCGAUCCGGCUUGGUGUCCUUGUCCUGUUUGCGGAUUUUGUGUCACGCACUUGAUUAAGCAUCCAACGUUCUCCUACUGUGCGCCCUUAGCCUUGACGAUAGGUAGCGCCGUGUUCUCGGGCCCGUCCCGUGGGUAAAAUCCAGGUAUGCGCCGAUUGUUUGAGCUCUUGCUCGCCAUUGGUGGUGCUUGAGCGUGCGGUUAUGGUGUCACGCAGCAAGGGAACACGGGAUGUGGGAUCAAGACAGCACAAAUAGCAACCCGCCACCAGGCAACGGAUGCCCAUCCGGACUUACAGGGAGCGGAGGUGGACACAAAGGUGGAUGUUGAGCUCCAUAGCAGUCUCAAAAAUGUGGUCAUCAGUAAGAGCAACACGAGCAAGAAGAUCCUGGAUAUACUUCUCUUAGGAAAUAAAGAAGCCAUUAGAGGUGAAAGAAACCUCAAUCUCAAAGAAGUAGCGACUUUAAACAUGGAGCAAUUUGGAAUUAGUUAGGCGAUUGUGAUCUUGAACAAAUUUCAUGGUGGAUUACGAGAUUUUCAAUAGAUUUUGUUGAUUGUGAUCUUGAGGAGGUAGGCAAAGAUGUUCGGUGGAUUAAUUAAUCUUGUACAAUUUGGAUUUAGUUAGGUGAAUGUGAUAUUGAACCAAAUUUCUCUAUGAUUUAUGAGAUUUUAGUUGGAUUUAGUUAGGUGAUUGUGUCUUGAGAAGAUAAUCAAAGAUUUUUGGUGGAUUAUGAGAUUUUAGGUCUAAUAGACGAGCAUGGUGAUUAUUAUAUUGGUGGAUAAACAUAUUUAAUUUAGUUCAGUGAUUGUGAUCUUUUAACCUAAUUUUAUGAUGGAUUAUAAAGUUUUGGUUGGAUUUACUUAUGUGAUUGUGAUUUUGACGAGCUAGUAAAAGAUGUUUGGUGGAUUAUGUGAAUUUAGGUCUAGUAGGUGAGCAUGUUGAUCAUUAUAUUGGUGGAUAGAGAUGAGGGCCACACAAGUGACUUAAGGCGAUGAUGCCACCACUGAAAAUAAUUGGUAAACAAGGCAACAUAGGUGGAGAGACUGGGGGUAGUGGCAGCAGAUGGACUUGAUCCAGCAUCCCACGUGCCUGUGCACCCUUCGUUCCCCGCUGAUCCGGCUUGGUGUCCUUGUCCUGUUUGCGGAUUUUGUGUCACGCACUUUAUUAAGCAUCCCAUGUUCUCCUACUGUGCGCUCUUAGCCUUGACGAUAGGUAGCGACGUGUUCUCGGGCCCGUCCCGUGGGUAAAAUCCAGGUAUGCGCCGAUUGUCUCAGCUCUUGCUCACCAUUGGUGGUGCUUGAGCGUGCGGUUAUGGUGUCACGCAGCAAGGGAACACGGGAUGUGGAUCAAGACAGCACACAUAGCAACCCGCCACCAGGCAAGGAUGCCCAUCCAGACUUAUAGGGAGCGGAGGUGAACACAAAGGUGGAUGUUGAGCUCCAUAGCAGUCUCUAAAGUGUGCUUAUCAGUAAGAGCAGCAUGAGCAAGAAGAUCCUGGAUAUACUUCUCUUAGGAAAUAAAGAAGCCAUUAGAGGUGAAGAAACCUCAAUCUCAAGGAAGUAGCGACUUUAAACAUGAAGCAAUUUGGAAUUGGUUAGGCGAUUGUCAUCUUGAACAAAUUUCAUGGUGGAUUGUGAGUUUUUUCAAUGGAUUUUGUUGAUUGUGAUCUUGAGGACAUAGUCAAAGAUGUUCGAUGGAUUAAUUAAUCUUUAACUCUGUGAUUUAUGAGAUUUUAGUUGGAUUUAGUUAGGUGAUUGUGUCUUGAGUGUGCGGUUAUGGUGUCACGCAGCAAGGGAACACGGGAUGUGGGAUCAAGACAUCACACGUAGCAACCCGCCACCAGGCAACGGAUGCCCAUCCGGACUUACAAGGAGCGGAGGUGGACACAAAGGUGGAUGUUGAGCUUCAUAGUAGUCUCAACAAUGCACUCAUCAGUAAGAGCAGCACAAGCAAGAUCUUGGAUAUACUUCUCUUAGGAAAUAAAGAAGCCAUUAGAGGUAGAAGAAACCUCAAUCUCAAGGAAGUAGGGACUUUAAACUGGAGCAAUUUGGAAUUAGUUAGGCGAUUGUGAUCUUGAACAAAUUUCAUGGUGGAUUACGAGAUUUUUAAUGGAUUUUGUUGAUUGUGAUCUUGAGGAUAUAGUCAAAGAUGUUCGGUGGAUUAAUUAAUCUUUAACUCCAUAAUUUAUGAGAUUUUAGUUGGAUUUAGUAGUGAUUGUGUCUUGAGAUGAUAAUCAAAGAUGUUUCGUGGAUUAUGAGAUUUUAGGUCUAGUAGAUGAGCAUGGUGAUUAUUAUAUUGGUGGAUAAACAAAUAUUUAAUUUAGUUUGAAAUUUUUUGGAUUUAGUAGGUCAUUGUGAUCUUUUAACCUAAUUUUAUGGUGGAUUAUAAGGUUUUGGUUGGAUUUAGUUAGUUUAUUGUGAUUUUGACGAGCUAGUAAAAGAUGUUUGAUGGAUUAUGUGAAUCUAGGUCUAGUAGGUGAGCAUGUUGAUCAUUAUAUUAGUGGAUAAAUGACUCUUUAAUAGAUUUGGAACAAUUUGGAUUUAGUUAGGCAAUUGUGGUCUUAAACCAAAUUUUAUGGUGGAUUAUGAGAUUUUUUAUGGAUUAGUUAGUUGAUUGUGGUCUUGAGGAUAUAGUCUAAGAUGUUUGGUGGAUUAAUUAAUGUUGAACAAUUUGGAUUUAGUUAGGUGGUUGUGAUACUUAACCGAAUUUCACGCUGGAUUAUGAGAUUUUAGGUGGAUUUAGUUAAGUGAUUGUGUCUCGAAAAUAUAUACAAAGAUGUUUGCUCGACUAUUAGAUUUUAGGUUUAGUAGAUGAGAAUGGUGAUUAUUAUAUUGGUAGAUAAACAAAUCUUUAAUUCAGUUUGGAACAAUUUUGAUUUAGUCAGGUGAUUGUUAUUUUUCAACCAAAUUCAUGGUGCAUUUUGUGGUUUUGGUGGAUGUAGUUAGGUGACUGUGAUCUUGACGAGAUAGUUAAAGAUGUUUGAUGAAUUAUGUUAAUUUAGGUCUAGUAAGUGAGCAUGGUGGUUAUUAUAUUGAUGGAUAAAUGGAUCUUUAGUAAACAUGUUUGGAUGUAGUUAGGCGAUUGUGAUCUUGAACAAAUUUCACGGUGGAGUACGAGAUUUUCAAUAGAUUUACUUAGUGAAUUGUGAGCUUGGGGGGAUGUUAAAGAUGUUUGGUGGAUUAUUAGUUAGGUGAUUGUGAUAUUGAACCAAAUUUCUUGGUGAUUUAUGAGAUUUUAGUUGGAUUUAGUUAAAAUUUCUUGGUGAUUUAUGAGAUUUUAGUUGGAUUUAGUUAGGUGAUUGUGUCUUGAGAUGCUAAUCAAAGAUGUUUAGUGGAUUAUGAGAUUUUAGGUCUAGUAGAUGAGCAUGGUGAUUACUAUAUUGGUGAAUGAACAAAUAUUUAAUUUAGUUUGGAACAAUUUGGAUUUAGUUAGGUGAUUGUGAUCUUUUGACCAAUUUUUAUGGUGGAUUAUGAGCUUUUGGUUGGAUUUAGUUAGUUGAUUGGGAUCUUGACGAGCUAGAAAAAGAUGUUCGGUAGAUUAUAUGAAUUUAGGUCUAGUAGGUGAGCAUGUUGGUUAUUUUAUUGAUGGAUAAAUAAAUUUUUAAUAAACUUGGAAAAUUUUGAAUAUAGUUAGGUGAUUGUGAUCUUGAACCAAAUUUUAUGGUGGAUUAUGAGAUUUUUGAUGGAUUAGUUAGUUGAUUGUGAUCUUGAGGAUAUAGUCAAAGAUGUUCGUCUCAUUAAUUAAUCUUGAACAAUUUGGAUUUAGUUAGGUGAUUGUGAUAUUGAACGAAAUUUCUUUGUGAUUUAUGAGAUUGUAGUUGGAUUUAGUUUGGUGGUUGUGCCUAGAAGAUAGUCAAAGAUGUUUGGUGGAUGAUUAUGAGAUUUUAGGUCUAAUAGAUGAGCAUGGUGAUUAUUAUAUUGGUGGAUAAAUGAAUCUUUAAUAAAUUUGAAAGAAUUUGGAUUUAGUUAGGCGACUGUGAUCUUGAAUCAAACUUUAUGGUGGAUUGUGAGAUUUAAUUCGGCUGCGCUCCCCCUCUUCGUCGAGGAGCAUGCGCAGUGCGGUGGUGUGGCUGUUCGUGCGGUGGGGUCAGAAGUUGGGGCGCCGACACCCGCAGCUUGUGCACAAUGGCGACUCCACGUAAGCGCCCCGGAACCCUCUCCUUCCCGGCACAGCAGGAGCAGGAGCAAGGAUGCCGAGGCGGUUAAGGUGAAUGGUGCUUUAGCUUCAAUGACCAAUUUUAUUGCUAAAUAUUUUUCUCACUGGAAGUGUCAAAGAAUACACAACUUGUCGCGAGGAAGAGUAGGAAGAUCAGGCGGAGAGGGUUUCACAUACCUCUUCUACAUUGACAAGUCUUUGCUUUCCAGGAUUGCCAUGGUGAGCUGCUGCUGUAAUGCUUUGAUUUUCUUUUGUUUUGUCACUUUUUAAAACUUUGUUCUCUUAUUCUGAUGCUAUGAUUUGUGAUGGCUAGAUGAGACUUGUGGUGAAAAGUCUCCGUUAUUUUGUUUACCUACAGAUCUUGAAUGUGCGAUUGAUAAUUUUGCUGGAUAGGUUAGAAAUCUAAAUAAUAGACAUUUUAAAAGAUGUAUUGUUAAACAUGGAAAGCCAAGAAAGAUAUAUAGCUUACUUGCAGUGUUGUUUGAUCCAUCGCUCUGCGGCAGGCUCACUGAUAGACUUGAAGUAUGCCUAAUCUUGGACUGAAUUUAUUGCCUAUUGUUGGUGUGUUUCUUUUAUUCUAUAUUUAGGGGGUUCUAAGCUGUUGAAUUAGGAAGCAUACAGUUUAUCCCUUGAUCCGCUUCAGUCUGUUGGCUGAUAUUCCGCACAGCGACAAGAGACUUGCUGGCUUCAAGAAGGAUAAGAAGCAGCUGGGCACUGAGAUUCACCGCAAAUACAUCUAUGAAGGUCAUGUUGCUGACUACAUGAAGAUCUCUAUUUUCUCUCAUGCACUCCCCUGCUGGUGAACAGAGAGGGACGAAUCCGGCCACCAGCGCAAAAGAUCAGGGUGGAUCCAAGCCAUCACCGCCUCUCCUUUACUGCCUUGGAUGAUGGCCACCUCCCAGGUGCAGUCAAUGUGGAGGCCAAAAUCGAAAUUGCGAAAGAGAAGUGAUGCCUCCUCUUCUGUGCUGCUGCAUCAUGGCGCCCCUCUGGUGGCUUGCCUACUUUCAGAACGAAGAGGUGGCGGCAGGUGGAGGAGGGAGCAUGACGCUGGGCAGGAUGCGGUGGAUCACAACCAGGUGAUAAUUGGGUGGGAGCAAAAAGGAGAGCAGGCAAUGACCCUCUUCAAAUUUGGCUUCGGUAAGGAGAGCAGGCAAUGACGCUCUUUCAGUUUGGCGUCGGUAAGGCCAGAAUGACAGGCCUAAGCUCCUGGUGAUAUCCUACUCCACUCAGUUUCUUCUUCUUCCAUGCCUACACAGCUCUAUCUUUUCUUAGUUUAAACCCGUCUAAAUUUCUGUCAUAUAAAAUCUUAUGAAACAAUGUGCUACUAUUAUUAUUACUGAACUAUGUCAAUCUGUUUCUUUUUUGAAGUGGGAAGGGAUGAAUUGAACAAGGAGGAAGGACAACGUGUUUGUUCUUCAACCAUUUCCCUCUGAAACCUAGCUUAGGAUUGUCCCCUGUUAAGUGUGUGGUUUUACCUGCUACUAAAUUAGUCAUGCACACAUGUUUUCAAUCUUCGACUGUUUCUUGCCUCUGAAACCCAAGUUAGGACUGUCCCUUGUUAAGUGUGUGCUUGUACCUGCUGCUAAAUUAAUAAUGCACUUUCAUUUUGGUUGCAGAAAAUUGGGGGAAAUCAUGGCUAGAGCAUAUGUGAACUUGGCCUCCGGUCAUUUAGUCAGGUUUCUGGUUUUGCUUGGGAGAGUAUCAUGUGUUACCCAUUUGUUUAUUUAAAUAAUUUGCAUCUAAUUCUCGUGAACUAAAUCGUGCUUGGGAGAGUAGCAUGUGUUUCCCAGCAAGCUUGUUGCUUGCUUGUUUUAGAUUAUUGAUUUAGUUACAUAUACAUAGUCCUUUUGGACGGUUGGCUUGGCUGUUUGGAUCUGUUUUUAUGCAGAGAAAACUGUAUUCCAAUCAUAAAACUGAUACAACGGGCACACUAAUAUGACUGCUGUACUUUGAAAUCGACCAUUUGAUUAUUCGGGAGAUAUGUAUCAAAAGAAGGAAAAAAUGUGCGAACCAUUUGAUCGCUGGGUAGAUGUGUCAAGGAAAUAAAACAGACAACAUGUUUGUUCCUUUGGAUAUAUGCUGUCAAACAGAAAAUUCUUUUAAUUUAUUGGGGCGAAAGAAUUGUUGUUUGAGUUAUAAGUCUUAGCUACCUCUGCUCGCUUUUGAUGUUCAGUUCACUAAUUCCCUGCUCUUUCCUUAAUUUCUCCCUUCAAGAUUAUGCUUCACCGUCAACUAUUUGCUGUAGAAGAACACGAGAUGUGUGUCAAGCAUGAGCUGGUGUUCUAUUUUUGUAGGACGUAAAAUUUGCAGAUCUGUGCUGAUUGUUUGUUAAAACCAAAAUUGCAGCAUCGAUUGGCUUAGCUGCGCAAGUCCAUUGCUUACAAGGUGAUCUUGAUGAGGGGAAACAAGGGUGAACUAUGAAGUUUCAUGUUCCAGGAUGUGAUCUUCUCAAGAUGAUUGAUGUGCUGCAGUCUGGCGUUUGGCAUUUUGGCUUGGUCUAUGAAGACUACAGAUUUCUGUGGAAGAUCAAAAUACCUCCUAAAAUCAGAAUGUUCCUUUGGUUGGUGCUGAGGGAAAGCAUUUUAACUAGAGACGUUCUGCUGAAUAGGGGUGAAAAAUGUGAACAGAUUGUCUUUUCUGUGGCCAUAAAGACUCGAUAAAUCAUCUGUUUUGCUAAGUACAUUUGGAAUGUGAUCCAGUGUAGUCUGCGGGUUGAAUGUAGAUUCGCAGAUGCAAAAGCCUGUUUUAAUGGAUGGCUUAAAGGGAUGCACUCCCAGAGGAGAGAAGUAUAUACAGUGGGUGUAGCAGCUGUUCUCUGGGGGAUUUGGAAAGCGAGGAACUUGGCGUGCUUUAAUCAUAAAUGGCCUGUUGAUCCGUCUGUUGUUAUGUUUCGAGUGGCCUAUUGGAUUACUGACUGGAGUGUCUUGCAGGUGUCGGAGGACGCAAAACCAUCACUUCUGGAGCAAGUCGCGGCUGAAGUUUAUGGCGCCAAAAGAAGCUGGGCGAUGGGAGCUGAUGCUGGGAUUGUGAUGUCUUAGGAUUGUGUUCGGGCUGCGUUCAUUUUCUUUGUUAGUGUUCAUGUUGUGUCUCCGUCCUUGUUAGACUUCCCCGGUUAUCUGCAUGUUGCUGGAGUUAAUUUCCUAGGCUGUUGUUCAGCUAGGGGUCUAUCUUCUCCCUUGGGUCAGUUCGAUCUCAGGGUGUGGAGUCGCUUUUGUGUGGCGGGUGGUUGUAAAGAAUGAUUUGGUUUCUUUAAAUGAAAUCGGGGGAAUCCCCUUUAAAAAGAAAAAGAAAAAAGAAUUAAAGAACA